rnacentral:rRNA from 1 species
AUACGGAGGAUCCGAGCGUUAUCCGGAUUUAUUGGGUUUAAAGGGAGCGUAGGCGGACUGGUAAGUCAGCUGUGAAAGUUUGCGGCUUAACCGUAAAAUUGCAGUUGAUACUGUCAGUCUUGAGUGUGCAUGAGGUGGGCGGAAUUUGUGGUGUAGCGGUGAAAUGCUUAGAUAUCACGAGGAACUCCAAUUGCGAAGGCAGCUCACUGGGGCAUAACUGACGCUGAUGCACGAAGGUGUGGGUAUCAAACAGGAUUAGAUACCCUGGUAGUCCUCACAGUAAACGAUGAAUACUCGCUGUUUGCGAUAUACAGUAAGCGGCCAAGCGAAAGCAUUAAGUAUUCCGCCUGGGGAGUACGCCGGCAACGGUGAAACUUAAAGGAAUUGACGGGG